rnacentral:tRNA from 1 species
AGGAGUGUAGCUCAACUGGUAGAGCGCCGGUCUCCAAAACCGGAGGUUGGGGGUUCGAUGCCUCUCGCUCCUG